CAGCUCUCCAGCCUGUCCAGGUCUCUGAUGGCAGCACAGCUUCCAAUGUCACCACUCCUCCCAGCUUGGUGUCACCAGCAAACUUGCUGACAGUCACUCUAUUCCCUCAUCCAAGUCAUUGAUGAAUAUAUUGAAUAGUACUGGUCCCAGCACUGCCCCCUGAGACACUGCACUAGAUACAGGCCCCCAAUGUGCCCCACCGCCCGCCUUUGUGUCACUGGAAAGCCCCCUGAGCUCCCUGUGCAGCUCCUGUGCUGGGAUCACAGAAUCACAGAACAGUUUGUGUUGAAAGGACCUUCCCAGCCCCCAGUGCCCCCCUGCCAUGACAGGGACAUCGUCACCAGCUCAGGGUGCUCAGAGCCCGUCCAGCCUGGCCUGGGAUGUCUCAGGGAUGGCUCAUCCACCACCUCUCUGGGUACCUGGGCCAGGCUCUCACCACCCUCAGGGGCAGCAAUUGCUUCUUUAUACUUAGUCUAAAUCUCCUCUGGUGCUGGAGGGGACAUGGGCACCGAGAUUCCACCCCAGAUAAAUCCACAGCUUCGAAAGCUCUUGGCAGCUCGGGGAGGAGCAGCCAAACCCCGCGUCCUGGAGCCACAUCCUGAGCUGGGGCUCGGCUGGUGAACCGAGACCCGGCUGGUUUUGUCCCAGGCAGCCGGAGCCCAUCACGGGGAAGAAAAGGCUCCUUGUCUCGGGGUCGCGGCUCUAAUCCCGUUCUGCGUCUGCGGGAGAAAAGAGGACGGCGGAGCGAGGACAGCGCCGCUGCCGCUGCCAAUUCCCGGCCCUGCGCGCCGCGUCCCGCGCCAGCCCUGCCCGGCCACAAAAGGCUGCAUCCCCUCCCAGCAAACUAACCAAGCAUUUAAAUUUAAUAGCUGUCGGCAACCUCGCCGUUUCAAAGUGAUUAGGCAUUUAAUUAGAGCCCAUGUCUUGCUUUGCUGGCUGGGAGGCAAAUUCCUCCGUAGGGCCCGUGAAAUCUGCGCCGGUGACCGGCACGGCGCAUGGCAGAUGCUCUUUGCCAUCCCCAUGUCAGACGAGGUGCUGAUGGGGAGCCCGGCCCUUCAAGUGACCCCGUUUGUCCCCUCCAUCCCCAUGCACCCGCGCCUGCAAACCGCGCUCCUCCCUGCUCCGGUGCUCCGGCAAAGCCAGAGCAGGAGGAGAGCCCGCGGGCUGGGGACGUGCCAUUGCCCGGGGAAACUGAGGCACGCCGAGGGACGCCGGCCUCAGAGCAAGGUGGGGAGCGGAGGUUGUGUCUUCAUUCAGGAAAUGGGAGGAGCAUCCUUAGACCUGCUUAAAUCCGUGUGACCCAAUUCUGCCCUGAAUCCCGAUAAGUCCCUACAGCCCGUGCGGGUGAGCAGCUGUAGCCGAGCGAGCCGGGUGAGGAUGACAGGGUGACCCCCAUUCCCGCGGCUCCUCCUCGGGUGUCCCCAUGCUGCCCUUAAACCAGGGGGUGACACCCAGGAGUGAGGCCCCAGCUCUGAUCACUGAGUCCAACCAUAACCCACCCCAGCACUGCCCCACGUCCUGAGAACCUCAUGUCCAUCUGUCCAGCCCUCCAGGGAUGGUGACUCCAGCACUGCCCUGGGCAGCCUGUUCAAUGCCCCACAGCCCUUUGGGGAAGAAAUUGUUCCCAGAUCCAACCUCAACCUCCCCUGGCACGACUUGAGGCCGUUUCCUCUCAUGCUAAAUGGCUGGUGAAGGAUCGAGCAACCCCAGGUGCCACCUUGUCCUCCUGGGAGGUUCCAGGGCAGAACUGGGAUGGAUGGGCUGUGCCAGGAUGAUGGGGAUGGUUGGGAUGUACCAGAAUGGUUGGGAUGUGCUGGGAUGGUUGGGAUGUACUGGGAUGAUGGGAUGUGCCAGGAUGUGCUGGGAUGGUUGAGAUGGUUGGGGUGUGCCGGGAUGGAUGGGAUGUGCUGGGAUGGUUGGGAUGUGCUGGGAUGGUUGGGAUGGAUGGGAUAUGCCAGGGUGUGCUGGGAUGGGCGGGAUGGUUGGGAUGUGCUGGGAUGGUUGGAAUGGAUGGGAUAUGCCAGGAUGUGCUGGGAUGGUCGGGAUGUGCUAGAAUGGUUGGGAUGUACCGGAAUGGUUGGGAUGUGCUGGGAUGUGCUGGGAUGGUUGGGAUUGGGAUGUUCUGGGAUGGAUGGGAUGGAUGUGAUGUGCUGGGAUGGUUGGGAUGGUUGGGAUUGGGAUGUUCUGGGAUGGAUGGGAGGAUGGGAUGUGCUGGGAUGGUUGGGAUGGUUGAGAUGGUCGGGAUGUGUUGGGAUGGAUGUGAUAUACCGGAAUGGACGGUCUGUGCCGUACUGGCAGCAUGAUGGAUGGUUUCAACUGGGAUGAGGUUUCUGUCUGGUCACGAGACUGGUGCUACACCAGCUGCUCCUUCCCGCAAAGGAGAUUUUCUUCUCUCCCGCAGACAACGUCUGGCUGAGCCCUCAGGACCAUCAGGAAGGAUCCUGGUGAGGAGCAGAUGGCUUCCAGACCCGCCUUUCAGCUGCACAUUCACCGGCUGGAUCCCCAUCCCAGCCCGUGUCCCCCCAUCCCCACGCUGCCCCUUCCCUCCUCUUCCUCACCACGUUUCUCACCCACAACCCCAUGUCAUUCCCACUCCCCUCCAACACCCCAUAACCACAAUAGCUUUUAUUGCUGUGUCUGGUGGUUUACCCACGGUUUUACCCGUUGUGCAGCUCCGUGCUGGAAGGGGAACGGCUGGAACCAAAGCCCCAACGGUGCAGUUGGCUGCUCACUGUUCUUUGCAUGAGCCCCCAGAAUCAUUUGCCAGCUCCCGUUGCCACCGCCCAUGUUUAACUUGCAACAAGUGAGCUGAGAAUGAAUUAUUCAGCAGCUUGUGGAAAGCAUUGGGAAGGUCUAAAACACACUGAGCUGUGGGUUCAGCUCCUACCUGCCCUGGGGAGAUCGCUGGCUGCGUCCCUUACACAUGGCACGCUGAAUAUCGUAAUUGAUACUGAUUAA